rnacentral:lncRNA from 1 species
AUUGAGUUUGUCUUCAUCCAAUCCCUGGAGUAGGCUAUGGCAGCUCUAAGCCUAGUGCUUAUCGUAUGUUUUGAAACGCCUCCUGCCAUUUUUGCGUUAAUAACAUCCCAUCUCAGCUUCUCUUUAUGGACCUCAUCAUAGUUGCUCAGUAGACAAUCUACGUGCAGCACCAUAUCACAGAUGGUGGGUAAGAUCUGUGGGACUGCUGUGGGUCCGUUGAGGAGGAGAUUCUUGACCGGCUCCGGGACAUCCAAGUCUCCAACAAUACUAACCACGUCUUUAAGCUUUAAGUUUGAUGCGGGGGCACGUUUAGGUUGCUUACAUAGAAUCCACUUAAACUUUUUGACAUAUCUGUCUCUUAUCCAUUGUUUAAAUGAGGCCAUGCCUGUAGCACUCGUAUCUAGAAAUUGCCUGACGGAGUCAGUGUGUUUGUUAUGAGCAAAAGCUCAAGUUGGCGUAGUCUUUUCUUAAGGGAGAACAUAUUCCGUCUGGCAUCAGUGAAUGCAUAUUUGAGACAUU